rnacentral:lncRNA from 1 species
GGGAGGGGAGGGAACAAUUUGCAGAAUGUAAGUGUACACAACAAGAGAUUCACAUGAUGAAUAUGAAUUGUUUGUAGGUGCUCUGGUCAUAAUUUAAUGAGUCAAAUAUGGUCACAACUCCUUUGGCUGUAUCAUAAAAGCAAUCCAGUGACCUCUCCAAAAAUAUUAUAUAAGAUUUUUUCAAGCAUGAAGGAGCAAAUGUAUAUAUUAUAACAAAUGGUAGAAUUUUAAACUCACUGGAAGUUGUAGGGUGCCCAUAUGUAAUGCUUAUCUUGCCACUUAAGCAUCAUAUACGCUAUGUAGGUUGAAACCCUCCUCAUAGCUUUUUUAUUGUUGUCGUACUCGUUUCGCC